rnacentral:rRNA from 1 species
UACGGAGGUUCCUAGCGUUGUUCGGAAUUACUGGGCGUAAAGAGCUCGUAGGCGGUCUGUCGCGUCGAUCGUGAAAACUUGGGGCUUAACCCUGAGCUUGCGGUCGAUACGGGCAUGACUGGAGUUCGGCAGGGGAGACUGGAAUUCCUGGUGUAGCGGUGAAAUGCGCAGAUAUCAGGAGGAACACCGGUGGCGAAGGCGGGUCUCUGGGCCGAUACUGACGCUGAGGAGCGAAAGCGUGGGGAGCGAACAGG